rnacentral:rRNA from 1 species
UUAUCCGGAUUUAUUGGGUUUAAAGGGAGCGUAGGUGGAUUGUUAAGUCAGUUGUGAAAGUUUGCGGCUCAACCGUAAAAUUGCAGUUGAAACUGGCAGUCUUGAGUACAGUAGAGGUGGGCGGAAUUCGUGGUGUAGCGGUGAAAUGCUUAGAUAUCACGAAGAACUCCGAUUGCGAAGGCAGCUCACUAGACUGUUACUGACACUGAUGCUCGAAAGUGUGGGUAUCAAACAGGAUUAGAUACCCUGGUAGUCCACACAGUAAACGAUGAAUACUCGCUGUUUGCGAUAUACAGUAAGCGGCCAAGCGAAAGCAUUAAGUAUUCCACCUGGGGAGUACGCCGGCAACGGUGAAACUCAAAGGAAUUGACGGGGGCCCGCACAAGCGGAGGAACAUGUGGUUUAAUUCGAUGAUACGCGAGGAA